AUGAACGCUGGCGGCGUGCCUAAUACAUGCCAGUCGAGCGAACGGACGAGAAGCUUGCUUCUCUGAUGUUAGCGGCGGACGGGUGAGUAACACGUGGAUAACCUACCUAUAAGACUGGGAUAGCUUCGGGAAACCGGAGCUAAUACCGGAUAAUAUUUUGAACCGCAUGGUUCAAAAGUGAAAGACGGUCUUGCUGUCACUUAUAGAUGGAUCCGCGCUGCAUUAGCUAGUUGGUAAGGUAACGGCUUACCAAGGCAACGAUGCAUAGCCGACCUGAGAGGGUGAUCGGCCACACUGGAACUGAGACACGGUCCAGACUCCUACGGGAGGCAGCAGUAGGGAAUCUUCCGCAAUGGGCGAAAGCCUGACGGAGCAACGCCGCGUGAGUGAUGAAGGUCUUCGGAUCGUAAAACUCUGUUAUUAGGGAAGAACAUAUGUGUAAGUAACUGUGCACAUCUUGACGGUACCUAAUCAGAAAGCCACGGCGAACUACGU
rnacentral:rRNA from 1 species